rfam:Roseovarius sp. HTCC2601 scf_1100011001366 genomic scaffold, whole genome shotgun sequence.
UUUGCCCGGGAUCGCCCUCCGUCAGCGCGUUGCGCCCACGGGGGCCAUUCUG